CUCUCGAACCUUCUUUCGAUCUGGCCGCCGCCGCUGCCGCCGGUGGCCGGAAUCGAUUGCGGUCCACUCCCCGUUCCGUCAGGACGGUCAUUCCCUUGCUAGUGGCCUCGUCUCUCCGAUCUCGCAGUGCAAGUUCUCAGCCUUUCCUAUGGAGACCGAUCUCUCACGCAAGUCAGUCACCCCCUCCUCUCGCGACCUCUGAUCUCGCAGGCUGAUCCUCUGCUUCGAUAUCGCUUAUUAUCAAGCUCUCUGGCUCGCACGCCGGUCACAGCAUCCAGUUUCCCUAGUCCAUCAGCCUUCAAAUUUGGACGCCUCUACGACCACGUAGCUCUUGAACACCAUAGAAGGAUAAUUAGGUCCUUCCUCGCACAAAAUAAAUGAUGGGUGUUUCCAGGAAUUUGCAGCACAGAUCAUAAGCAGCCGUGAUUUCGCAGUUCGUGUACCCUGAUCUCCUAUAAACGUUAAAAUUUGGCGGGUCUUGGCAUGCCCUUGUUUUGUUGGUUGCAGUCAUCUCCUUGGAAAAACCGAUCGAUUCUGCUUCUCGACUCCUGUUUGCUAUAAAAAGUUCAUGUCCCACAAUCGAAUCAUCUUCAAUGGUACUUCUGGCUACAAUAAUCUCCUUACAAAAGCUAACUAAUUUGGCUUCUUGGCUUCUACUCUGGGGCUCCAUUUCGGAGAGCAAGCUUCCUUCCUGUGGGAGAUAAAGAGCCUGUGCAAUACGUUCGAAUGCUCAGGGAUGAAAGUUAAAAGACAAGUCUCAGUACUUUAUUGCCAACAUCGAGUAAAGAAGGGAAAAACUUCCCAGCCAAAGAUAGGAAGGAUAGGGAAGAAUGAAAUUUAGCUGGCAAUGAUGCUCAACUUCUACCUACAGGAAGUAACCGGACGCAAUAGAUUGCGACCUCAAGUGAUGUUAUACAUAGCUUCUCUAGUGAGAAUGUGAAAAAGCCAAAUGAGGGUUAACACAUUCAUAGUCAAGAUAAUGUCAUCGAAAAACUUCCAUACAACUUGAUCUAUUUGCUGCAGUUCACUAGUAGAAGAAGAACCAUAUCUAAGAUAACAGAAAUUAAAUGAAGAAUGUGUGGCAUGUACAUGUGAACCGCACAAGUUCGAAGAGCUCAAAUAAAGAAUUUGAAGUUGGGCCAUUGUCUCUCUUGCAUUCCUACAAUGAUUUAGAUAUAACCGUGCAAUAAUCAAAGAUUUGAACAAAGGAACAUGAGAAAGCAUGGAUUAUUUG